GACGAACGCUGGCGGCGUGCCUAAUACAUGCAAGUAGAACGCAGUUGCGAACGGGUGAGUAACGCGUAGGUAACUGCCUCAUAGCGGGGGAUAACUAUUGGAAACGAUAGCUAAUACCGCAUACUGUGAGAUGGACCUGCUUUGUAUUAGCUAGUUGGGGAGGUAAAGGCUCACCAAGGGGACGAUACAUAGCCGGCCUGAUAGGGUGAUCGGCCAACAUGGGAACGGGGACAGGCCCAGGAUCCCACCGGAAGGAAGCAGUGGGGAUCUUCGGCAAUGGGGGGAAAUCCGGCCGAACAACGCCGGCGGAGGGAAGGAGGGUUUCGGAUCGUAAAACUCCUUUGUUAGAGGAGCGGUAACUAACCAGAAAGGGACGGCUAACUACGUGCCAGCAGCCGCGGUAAUUC
rnacentral:rRNA from 1 species